rnacentral:misc_RNA from 1 species
GAUGAAGAACGUAGCGAAAUGCGAUAAGUAAUGUGAAUUGCAGAAUUCAGUGAAUCAUCGAAUCUUUGAACGCACAUUGCGCCCGCCAGUAUUCUGGCGAGCAUGCCUGUUCGAGCGUCAUUUCAACCAUCAAGCCCCAGGCUUGUGUUGGAGCCCUGUGGCUGCCGCAGCCUCCCAAAACCAGUGGCGGGCUCGCUAUCACACCGAGUGCAGUAGUUUACUCUUCGCUCAGGGCGUGUGGCGGGUGCUAGCCGUGAAACCCCCAACUUCUCAAGGUUGACCUCGGAUCAGGUAGGAAUACCCGCUGAACUUAAGCAUAUCAAUAAGCGGAGGA